rfam:Plasmodium gonderi apicoplast DNA, contig: Api.
AAACUUGUAAUUUAAAGGAUAAAAUAUAUAAUUACGAAUUGUAUUAUAAAAGUUCAAGUCUUUUCAAGUUUA